CGCGACCUACGGGGGGCAGCAGUGGGGGAUAUUGCACAAUGGGGGGAACCCUGAUGCAGCGACGCCGCGUGGGUGAAGAAGUAUUUCGGUAUAUAAAGCCCUAUCGGCAGGGAAGAAAUUGGACGGUACCUGACUAAGAAGCCCUGGCUAACUACGUGCCCGCAGCCGCGGUAAUACGUAGGGGGCAAGCGGUAUCCGGCUUCACUGGGUGGAAAGGGAGCGUAGACGGCCAUGCAAGCCU
rnacentral:rRNA from 1 species